GACGCCGGGAAAUGUGGUGUUAGGGAGGAUCCAUUAUACCGGGGCAUCGCGACGCGUCCAAGUCCUUCUUGAACGGGGCCAUUUACCCAGAGAGGGUGCCAGGCCCGUAGCGACCUUCGCGCGUUCCGGUAGGAUCUCUCCUCAGAGUCGGGUUGCUUGAGAGUGCAGCCCUAAGCGGGUGGUAAACUCCAUCUAAGGCUAAAUAUGACCACGAGACCGAUAGCGAACAAGUACCGUGAGGGAAAGUUGAAAAGCACUUUGAAGAGAGAGUUCAAGAGUACGUGAAACCGUUCAGGGGUAAACCUGAGAAACCCGAAAGGUCGACGGGGAAAUUCAUGCGCGUUUCCGCUUUCGAUGCGGGAUGGUCGUGCGACGAUCGGUUUUCGGAUCGAGCGCGCCUUCCGUCCCGCAGCCGUUCGGAUCGGAACGCGUGCACUUUUCCUCUGUCGGACGUCGCGAUCCGUUGGGUGCCGGUCUAAGGCCCGCGGCGGAGCCCAGCCGGUCGUCCUCGUGGCGAUCGGCAGGACCCGCGGUGUUUUACCCGACCGGCCCGCUCGACGGUAUGCAUGUGGCGCGGAGCGCGAUCAUUCGCGUUCGGCCCGCGGCAAGCGCGGGCGACGCGUCGACAAUCGGACCCGGUGCCGAUUUCGACCCCGCUCGACUGUUGGCCGCGGCGUUCUCGAACAGUCUCCGAUUAUUAAACGCCGAUCGGCGACGCUAUAGCUUUGGGUACUUUCAGGACCCGUCUUG
rnacentral:rRNA from 1 species